rnacentral:lncRNA from 12 species
CUUACAGUGGGAGGACAAGUCUGGUCCCAGUUCUGCCAUGGAAGAAGUAGAACUAUAAUCUGUUUUUUCCUCUCAUGGAACAAUGAUAGUUUACAGCUAUGUUCCCACUUAAGGUAAAGGAAGAAUGAGUGAAUGAGUAAAACUAAGUAUAGUAAAAUAAAUUGCCAAUGGUAUAAUCAAAGCUUCUAUAGGUUGGAGAAACUUUAAGUUCUCACUUUCAACAAGAAUUCUUUAAGUUGUGUUGCCAGUUUAAUUCAAGGUUCUUUCUUCCUCCCAGGUCAGGCAUAUUUUAGAAAUUACCCCCUCACAAUAGUUCUUUAAUUGAUCAUUAACACCAAUGGAAUGCUACCUCAAGUAACUUUAGCUAUCCUCUGUGAUUUCCUCCAACAUGAAGUUAGGAACACUGGGUAUAUUCCAAAUGUGCCUUAUUUCACUGAGGGACAAAUAACAAGUUCCAGCUUGCUCCAAUGAUAUUGGAAUUAAGUCAGCCAACCAUGUUUUCAAGGUCAGAUGUUCUAAGUCGGCUCCCUGCAGUGCAUGUCAACAUUAGAACACCUGGGGCAGAGCUGGCUCCCAGAACAACAGGAGAGACUUGCCAACAAGCUUGCUUAGGAUUUCUCUGCAGUGGAAAUUUUGGGACUGGGACCUGUUUGGAAAUAUCAGAGAUAACUAGAGGUGGGGGUAACGCCAAUGCUUCCUAGUAGAACAAGAUAGAAAACCACAUGGAUCAUUUCAAAGAAGCCACAGUUUGGAUUGGAUGCAAGAAGGAAUGGUUUAGAAGAGGUCACAGGUCACUGCCCCUUUGUUACUGAGCAUACUUUGGUUUUGUUUCCUCUGUCAUGAUUGGAAAAGGAUCUGUUGCUAACCUUCUAUCAAGUUGUUCUUGUAUAACUUGAGGCCCAGCAUCAACUCUCGAGAGGAGUGAAAAAGCUACUGAAUGCAAGUAGAACAUGGAGCCUCUCCAUCACUCUAUCAUUUUUGUCUAUCACUAAGUCUGUUGAUUCAUUGAAGUCCAAACUUUUGCUGGCACCACCUUGGCCUCUCACGGUCACCUCCACAAAAUCUCCAAGUGAGUCAGAUGAAAUGGUAAAGAGUAAAGAGGUGUGUUUCUGGCUCCUCCACUCCAGACUCUGAGCAAUGAACAACUCAAACAAAGUCUUUCAACCUGAAACUCUCAAGGGCAGGGUGUGGGGAGGUGUGCAGCAUGGUUCAUGUUCAGCAGGUUGAACAUGUGUACUUUCAGUCCAUUUAAUAACUAACUCCCCAGCUGAGCUGCAGUCCGGCUUCCAAUGCUUUUCAUAGAAAAUACCACUAAAACACCGAUCUUCAAAACUUUUGUGUUUUAUGGCCAGGAAUAAAAGCUUACCUCUUUCCCUGCA